GGAGCUUUACUGUAGCCUGAUAUUGAAAUUCGGUACAGUUUGUACAGGAUAGGUAGGAGCCUUAGAAGCGUGAGCGCUAGCUUACGUGGAGGCAUUGGUGGGAUACUACCCUAAUUGUAUUGGAUUUCUAACCCGCAGCACUUAUCGUGCUGGGAGACAGUGUCAGGCGGGCAGUUUGACUGGGGCGGUCGCCUCCUAAAGAGUAACGGAGGCGCUCAAAGGUUCCCUCAGAAUGGUUGGAAAUCAUUCAUAGAGUGUAAAGGCAUAAGGGAGCUUGACUGCGAGACCUACAAGUCGAGCAGGGUCGAAAGACGGACUUAGUGAUCCGGUGGUUCCGCAUGGAAGGGCCAUCGCUCAACGGAUAAAAGCUACCCCGGGGAUAACAGGCUUAUCUCCCCCAAGAGUUCACAUCGACGGGGAGGUUUGGCACCUCGAUGUCGGCUCAUCGCAUCCUGGGGCUGUAGUCGGUCCCAAGGGUUGGGCUGUUCGCCCAUUAAAGCGGUACGCGAGCUGGGUUCAGAACGUCGUGAGACAGUUCGGUCCCUAUCCGUCGUGGGCGUAGGAAAUUUGAGAGGAGCUGUCCUUAGUACGAGAGGACCGGGAUGGACAUACCUCUGGUGUACCAGUUGUCGUGCCAACGGCAUAGCUGGGUAGCUAUGUAUGGACGGGAUAAGUGCUGAAAGCAUCUAAGCAUGAAGCCCCCCUCGAGAUGAGAUUUCCCAACUUCGGUUAUAAGAUCCCUCAAAGAUGAUGAGGUGAAUAGGUUCGAGGUGGAAGCGUAGCGAUACGUGGAGCUGACGAAUACUAAUCGAUCGAAGACUUAAUCAA
rnacentral:rRNA from 1 species